UUCUGUUGACCCAGCCACGUCUACACGGGGGGCUAGGUCGGCUUACUUACAGCCCGCAGAGGGGGGAGAGUUGUUCACACCCGCAGCUCGGUGCAGGCCUUAGGGAGCGGUGGGGCUCCACCCCAGGGGUGGCUGCACGCCAGCAAAGGAGCCCGGGGCGGAGCCCGGGGCGGGCGGGAGAAGGAAGGAGCCCGGGGCUGGAGGAGAGCGGGGAAGGGACCCAGCGAGCGGCAGGGGCGCGGGUUCCGUGGCCGGCGCAGACACGCGUGGCCCGGGCAGGGCUGAGACACGCACCGGCCCCGGGUAGCCGGAGCCCGGCGCUCACAGGAGCGGCGCGGGCUCGGGCUGAGUCUCGGCGCUGGGAGCCCGGCAGAACUUUCCUCCCGCAGCCGCCGCGUCCCGGCUGGCCGGGCCCUGGGAGCCGCUUCGCUCCGCCGCCCCCUGCUCCCCUCCCUCCGCUCGCUCCUCUCCUCUCCUUUCUUCCUCAGCUGCCUCUGGGCCGGGCCCCCUUCCCCUGGGCUCUCCCUCCUCUCCUCUCCUGCCCUCUAGCCUUUCCUUCCCCUUCUGCUGACCUCUCCUACUUUCCUUCCCCCCACACCCACAUUCCCUUCCCUUCUCCCCCACCCAGCCACCCCUAUGCCCCACUCCACCAUGCUGAUGGGGACCAUGCCCCCAACGGAGGUGUACCCCUCUGAGCGGGUCAUCGUGCUGGUCUCCUGUGUCCUCUCCUUCCUGGGCUCCAGCCUCCUGGUCUUCACCCAUGCCCUUUGGCCCGAGCUGCGGACCCGUCCCCGGCAGCUCCUGCUCUACCUGUCCCUGGCCGACCUCCUUUCGGCUGCAUCCUACUUCUACGGGGUGCUGCAGGACUUCGACGCGACCUCAUGGGACUGCGUGCUGCAGGGCGCCCUGUCCACCUUCUCCAACACCAGCUCUUUCUUCUGGACCAUGGCCAUUGCCUUCUACCUGUACAUCACCAUUGUGAGGGGUGCGCCAACGGGCACUGGCCUGCUCUGCUUCUUCCACAUCAUGAGCUGGGGAAUCCCGCUUGCCAUCACCGUGGCUGCUGUUGCUCUGAAGAAGAUUGGCUAUGAUGCAUCAAACAUCUCUGUGGGCUGGUGCUGGGUCAACCUGGAAGCAGCGGAUCAGGUCCUGUGGAUGUUGUUGACAGGGAAAUUGUGGGAGCUGCUGGCGUAUGUGAUCCUACCAGUCCUUUACAUCCUCAUCAAGAAGCACAUCAAUAGAGCGCAUGAGGCACUCUCCGAAUAUCGCCCCAUACUAGCCAGGGCUCCUGCCUUUCAGCCCAGGACUUCCAUAGCAGAUAAGAAAUUGAUCCUCAUCCCUCUCAUUUUCAUCUUCCUCCGCAUCUGGAGCACUAUCCGAUUCAUCCUGACCCUUUGCAGCUCUCCUGCCGUGCAAAAUCCAGUCCUGGUGGUCUUGCACGGAAUUGGGAACACGUUCCAGGGAGGUGCCAACUGCAUUAUGUUUGUCCUCUGCACCCGUGUGAUCCGGACCCGGCUGCUCUCUUCCCUUUGCUGUGGUCGCUACGGAGGCUCGCGUCAGUCUUCGCAGAGGCUAGAGCAGGGUUACCAGCAUGCCAAACCCCCCAAGAACACACAGGCUGAACAGACGAAGGCUGAAUUUGCAAGCACCUGAGCCUUGAAUCUCCGCGUCUGAGUGUGAGAUUCCGUCAUUCUUGGUAAAGGUUUAACUGUAACUGAAUUACCACCAAGUGCCUAUAGAGGGAGCUAGAGGCCUAAGGAAAAGGAACUCCCACUUGAACCAUUAACAUGCAGGCACCGACUGAGAGCGUCUUUAUGGACAUCUCUCUCCAUGGAAUUCAGAUGCCAGCUGCCUUAGCUCUUCUCUCAAGAUUUCCGGGAAUGUGCUGCCGGGUCACACUCCAACUUCCAGUCUCAUCCCCGUGCCCCUUCUGCAGAAGUUUACAAAUGGUUCCUGGGUUCUGAUUUUCUAUUUUACUAAGACGAUUUCUCACCGUGCGGCUGGAGUGGGGGAAAAUCCACAACAUUCUGAAAACUCCAGCAGUUUCUGAGGAGAAGCACCAUGGAUGUGUGAUCAAUUAAUCGCCUGUGUCUUGAGGCCUUCAAGGGGGCUCCUGCUCUUCUACGCUUCAGAUGGUGGAUGGGGGACAAUAACUUGGCAAAGUCUUUCUUGGUUCUCCUUGGGGUGGGGAUGUGUCUUGGCUGUUUUGCUCCUUUUCCAGGGUCACAGCAGCUUGUCUCCCUUCUGGAUUUGGGAUGUGAAUGAGCUUGGGUGGCCGCUUGACUAAAUUAUGGCUCUAUGGACAAUUUGGUACUGAGGGUAGGUAAGUGGGCGAGCGUAUCAACCCGGCCAUCCAGCAAGAACAGCCCCUGAAGGAGACAGCUUGGACAUAUGGACACAUUUUGCUGCACAAAUCCUAAAUCCAGGUUUUCCUUCUUCCAAGGCACUGUCUGUUUUUAUUAAUGCUCCCCUUCUCCCACCGUGGUUUUUAAAAUCACAGCUUGGGCUUUAGGAGAUGCCAUCCCUUUUAGAACACAUCCUGUUUACAGCUCCUCAACUUUCCUUUCCUGGUGCACUUCCGAAACCUUUGUCUUUCUAACAAAAUCCUCACCGGAUUCCUGUCUCUGUAUGGACAGUGGUCUCCUUCCGGUGCAUUUUUUUUUAUGGAGAUGUUAUUAUUCAGUGUGAUAACGGCACAGAUUGGUCUGCAACACCUCUCCAGCCUGGGUUGGGGGAGGAGAGAGAUUGUGUGACAGUGUUUGUACAAGUUCGCAGUGUGUCUGUAAUUUAACAAAUGAUUGUCUAAGGCAUGCGCAGGGUGACUAAGCACAAGUCUUCCAUGCCAAUUGUAGAUGUUGCUCUUCCCGAUUGUUUUUACUCAGAUAUCAAGCUCUGACCAUCAUGGGGAGCAACCUGCUGAGCUGUGUGUGUGUGGGUUGGUUGAUGUCAUUUGGAAUGUCCACCGCUCUCUUGGUAUAAAAUUAAAGGCAGCAUCACCUGUUAUCAAGGGUGCUCAGCACUUCCCUUU